rnacentral:rRNA from 1 species
ACGAACGCUGGCGGCGUGGAUAAGACAUGCAAGUCGAACGAGAGAAUUGCUAGCUUGCUAAUAAUUCUCUAGUGGCGCACGGGUGAGUAACACGUGAGUAACCUGCCCCCGAGAGCGGGAUAGCCCUGGGAAACUGGGAUUAAUACCGCAUAGUAUCGAAAGAUUAAAGCAGCAAUGCGCUUGGGGAUGGGCUCGCGGCCUAUUAGUUAGUUGGUGAGGUAACGGCUCACCAAGGCGAUGACGGGUAGCCGGUCUGAGAGGAUGUCCGGCCACACUGGAACUGAGACACGGUCCAGACACCUACGGGUGGCAGCAGUCGAGAAUCAUUCACAAUGGGGGAAGCCCUGAUGGUGCGACGCCGCGUGGGGGAAUGAAGGUCUUCGGAUUGUAAACCCCUGUCAUGUGGGAGCAAAUUAAAAAGAUAGUACCACAAGAGGAAGAGACGGCUAACUCUGUGCCAGCAGCCGCGGUAAUACAGAGGUCUCAAGCGUUGUUCGGAAUCACUGGGCGUAAAGCGUGCGUAGGCUGUUUCGUAAGUCGUGUGUGAAAGGCGCGGGCUCAACCCGCGGACGGCACAUGAUACUGCGAGACUAGAGUAAUGGAGGGGGAACCGGAAUUCUCGGUGUAGCAGUGAAAUGCGUAGAUAUCGAGAGGAACACUCGUGGCGAAGGCGGGUUCCUGGACAUUAACUGACGCUGAGGCACGAAGGCCAGGGGAGCGAAAGGGAUUAGAUACCCCUGUAGUCCUGGCAGUAAACGGUGCACGCUUGGUGUGCGGGGAAUCGACCCCCUGCGUGCCGGAGCUAACGCGUUAAGCGUGCCGCCUGGGGAGUACGGUCGCAAGAUUAAAACUCAAAGAAAUUGACGGGGACCCGCACAAGCGGUGGAGUAUGUGGUUUAAUUCGACGCAACGCGAAGAACCUUACCAGGUCUUGACAUCCGAUGCAUAGUGCAGAGAUGCAUGAAGUCCUUCGGGACAUCGAGACAGGUGGUGCAUGGUUGUCGUCAGCUCGUGUCGUGAGAUGUUGGGUUAAGUCCCGCAACGAGCGCAACCCCUAUCCUUAGUAGCCAGCAGUAAGAUGGGCACUCUAGGGAGACUGCCAGGGAUAACCUGGAGGAAGGUGGGGAUGACGUCAAAUCAUCAUGCCCCUUAUGACUUGGGCUACACACGUGCUACAAUGGCAGAUACAAAGAGAAGCGACCUCGCGAGAGCAAGCGGAACUCAUAAAGUCUGUCGUAGUCCGGAUUGGAGUCUGCAACUCGACUCCAUGAAGUCGGAAUCGCUAGUAAUCGCGGAUCAGAAUGCCGCGGUGAAUACGUUCCCGGGUCUUGUACACACCGCCCGUCACACCAUGGGAGUCAGUAACGCCCGAAGUCAGUGACCUAACCGAAAGGGAGGAGCUGCCGAAGGCGGGACCGAUGACUGGGGUG